ACAAACCCCAAAAAUAGCCCCAAAACAGCCCCUGAUCCAGGGCAUCCUGUUGCUGGGGGACAUCGCCGAAGGUGGGACCCCAAAAUCCCCAAAAAGCAGCCCAAAAAUCCCCCAAAAACUGCCCCAAAAUCCCCAAAAACUGCCCCAAAAUGUGCCCCAGAGCGGCCCCAGCCCGGUGAUGACCACGGACAUUCGAAUCCCGAAUCCCCCUGUGGAUCUCUGUGCUCUGAGGGCCUCGGGGCGCGGCGGGUGUCCCCAAAUCCCUUUGGGUGUCCCCAAAUCCUCUGGGUGACCCGAAAUCCUCUGGGUGACCCCAAAUCCUCUGGGUGUCCCCAAAUCCUCUGGGUGACCCCAAAUCCUUUUGGGUGUCCCCAAAUCCUCUGGGUGUCCCCAAAUCCUCUGGGUGACCCCAAAUCCCUUUGGGUGUCCCAAACCCUUUUAAGCUGUCCCAAAUCCCAGUGCCACCCUGUCCCGGUGCCACCCUGUCCCCAGUGCCACCCUGUCCCCAGUGUCACCCUGUCCCCAUACCACCCUGUCCCCAUACCACCCAGUCCCAGUGCCACCCUGUCCCAGUGCCACCCUGUCCCAGUGUCACCCUGUCCCCGGUGCCACCCUGUCCCAGUGGCACCCUGUCCCAGUGUCACCCUGUCCCAGUGCCACCCUGUCCCCGUGUCACCCUGUCCCAGUGUCACCCUGUCCCCGUGUGCCACCCUGUCCCAGUGCCACCCUGUCCCUGUGCCACCCUCCCCCCAAUGCCACCCUGUCCCUGUGCCACCCUGUCCCCAGUGUCACCCUGUCCCCAGUGUCACCCUGUCCCGGUGCCACCCUGUCCUGGUGCCACCCAGUCCCGGUGUCACCCUGUCCCAGUGCCACCCUGUCCCAGUGUCACCCUGUCCCCAGUGUCACCCUGUCCCCGGUGUCACCCUGUCCCCAGUGUCACCCUGUCCUGGUGCCACCCUGUCCUGGUGCCACCCUGUCCCCAGGAGUCCAUCCAGAAGUUGAUGCCGCCGCUGAUCCAGAAGUGCAACGAGCUCAAGGACAAGGACGAGGACGAGGACCUGUUCCCGCUGCUCGAGGUGCCCCCGAGGGUGCUGGCAGGGUGGCAGGGUGCCCGUGCCACCCGUGACGCUGUCCCCGCUGUCCCCGGUGCCGGUCGGUGGCCGCGGCGCUGCAGCGCGGGUUCCUGCCCCACCGUGAGCCGGGGCACCGGCGCUGCGUGGCACCGGUGGCACCCGCAGCAGUGACACCCACGGCAGUGACACCCAUGUCCCCAUGGCAGUGACACCCACGGCGGUGACACCCACGGCGGUGACACCUGCAUCCCCAUGGCGGUGACACCCAUGUCCCUAUGGCGGUGACACCCACGGUGGUGACACCCAUGUCCCCAUGGCGGUGACACCCAUGUCCCUAUGGCAGUGACACCCACGGUGGUGACACCCACGGCGGUGACACCUGCAUCCCCAUGGCGGUGACACC
rnacentral:lncRNA from 1 species